ensembl:lncRNA
GCUGCACGCACCAAAAACCCACCAGCUUUUCAUGCUUUUAAAAGUGUCAUUUUAUUCAAAGCAAUCAGAAGGUGGUUUUGUUGGUGUCCCUGGGGGUUUCUGGCUGAGGCAGCUGGGACGAUGCUCUGCACAUCACAGGCUGCUGCUGACUGCGCUGCAUUGCCUUUUGCGGAAGUUCCUUUGCUUUCAUUUUACCUACGUGCACUGCAGGCUGAUGGAUGAAAGUGAACUGGGUAUUUUUGUUGCUUUUCACCCUUCUAAAAUUAGUAAGUGCCUCAGUGCCGCCCUGGGAAUACAUUCACUUGAUGCAAUAUAACAUGCAAGCAGGCAAAACUUUUCAUUGCAAGGAAACCUUUCUCCAAGUCCCAUCUACACAUGUACUUCUGCCAGUUACUACUUUGUGUAAGCUCUGCCUAGGAUUGCUACCAAAGCAGCCAAAUUGCUGUGGGCUUCACUGGGAUAUAUGCGAUGACAGAGGCAUGCAGAUAUUAUGCAUUAGCUGAGCUCCUUCUCCUUCUUCUUAAAUGGGAUAAAAGAAGCAUGCUGUCUUCCAAAGGCCAGGAUGCCAUUGACCUCCUUGCCCAUCUGGGCACACUGCUGGAAAGCACAGUGCUGUAGAAGAGUCCAAGCAUCCUGCCUGCUGCCCUGCCUCCUCCACUUUCAGAAGCCAACAUCCAGCUCCUUGGCAGGCACCCCAGAACCAAGACCUGGCUGCUUAUAAACGUGCAUGGAAGAGACCAUAUAGGUGGGGAAAAGUCAUAGAAUGGCUUGAGUUGGAAAGGACUUUAAAGACCAUCUAGCUUCAACACCCUGCUGUGGGCAAGCAAGCGUGUUCCAUCCCAUACAACUGUGAAGUACCAAUUUUAAAUAUUUUCCUAGCACUGGUUCAUAAAUGCAAUGCGUAGCAUAAAAAUGUGUCUGCAAAGAACAGAUCAGGCAGUUUCAAUCCUUCAGUCCAUACUUUACUUAUGCCCUAUCCCCGUGCCUGUGCUCUGGUGGUGGUGUCACUGUCCCUGGAGGUCCUGUGCCAAUGUCUCAACACUUUCUGAGAAGAAUUUUUUUCUAACAUCCAAACUGAACCUCCUCUGGCACGACUUAAGGCCAUUACCAAGUUGUGCCAGCCUAUGGAUUCUGAGACAGUCCAGUGAACACAUGAAUCCAUGCUUGACUUAAAAAAAAGGCCAAACAGAAAGAUGGAGGUUAUUAACCACUGCUGCAGGGCUACGUGGAGAUUGCUCAUCCAGAAAAAUACUGUGGGGCAGAAGACUUCUUGAGAGUUUUUGAUUCAUGAACG